rnacentral:misc_RNA from 1 species
GUUGGCACUGAAAAUAAGAAAAUUGGAGUGUCAUCAACACCUGAAUUAAUCACCGUGAUUAUGGACUGAUCUAAUAACCUCAUGAAACGGUUAUAAAAACUAACAAAUCGUUUAUGAAAGUUAUUUUUAGUAUUGAUACUUAAUAAACAAAGGAUUUCUUACGGACAAUAAUUUCGUAAAAUGUCGUUUUCCGAUUACGAGCAGACAUGUCACGAUCAUGGAACCCUGUUGGUCCUUUUGCGCCCGAUUGGCACUCAAAUAAAACAAAACCUUGUGACAAAAUUGUGCGAGCGUAUAAUGAAAAGUGGUAGUUGUUUGACGGUGAUAGAUUCAAGUGGAUCGACUCGCGAAAUUUUCACCCGUUUUGUCAAAGAUUAUCCUGUUGAGAACAGUGAUUGGGGUGAUUUUCAAACGCAUCGCAGAUUACUGGGUCUUAUUACUUUUGGUAAAUACAAUGAUCAAACAGAGUUAAAUGAGCUCUGUCGUAUACAUGAGACUCUAAAAGUCAGGUAUUCUUCGACACUUUAUGAUUCGCGUACAGUUCUCUUUGGGCCUGUAAAAUCUAACAGUCUAAAGGAACCUCCCCUAGGGUUCACAACUCCAUCAAAUUUUAAGACAAGCGGUAUCUUCUUUCUGGAUGAAUCUUGUCCUGAAUUAGAAACUGAGAUCAUGGAAUGUUUAAACCUGCUCUUCUGGAUACUGGAAUCUAAGAGACUAGAAAGGUCAAGAGAAAAAAGUGAACGAGUAUCUUUAAUUGUGGCACCUUUUGAGAAGAAGGAUUUUAUUGGGCUUGAUAUGGAGUCAAGAAACAACAGGAAGAGAUGUAUUGGACGUAUGACCAAACAUCUUGGGGAUUUGUGUCUUCAAGCUAGCUUACAUUCAGACGCACUAAGUCACUAUAAUUCAGCUGCAACUAUUCUUCAAGGAGUCAACGAUUGGUUAUGGCUAGGAGCUGCAUUGGAGGGCCUCUGUGCAGCAUCUGUCAUUGUUCUUUAUCCCAAUAUGCGUAGGAACUUACCACUGCAAAGAAAUUCAUCAUUGCAGGAGGGCAGUCCGGGUAAACAAAGAUUCAGCUUCCAACCUCCAAUGCCUUUACGCGUGUCGCUAGCAAGUGAAGAGAUCAAGGCUGAAAUGCCAAAUAUAUUACCACCCGAAGAUAUACCCAAAAAGUACCGUGAAGCGAUAGUACACUACAGCAAAUACCAAAAUGCAGGAAUCAUCGAAACGGAAGCUAGUUUCAAAGCUACCAGAAUCUCAAUUGAACAAAACUGCACUCUUCAAGCUGCGUCUUUUCUCAACAAUGUUGUAUUAAUCAAUUUAACGAUGAAUGAUCAAGAGAAGAUUGAUCGAUUUACAAUGUUAUCUGAGCUGUAUUCAUCAUUUGGAUUCUUGAGGAAAGCUUCAUUCUGCUUGCGUUUAGCAGCGACAAGGCAUGUCUCCAAAAAUAACCCGGAACCUGAUUGGAGGCAAUGUUACAAUCUAAUGUUGCAAGCUACACCUGGAUUCAGAUUGUCUAUGGAUCCAACAGAAAUGUCACAAGAUUAUCGAAGGGGCUGGCCAGCUAUUCAGAUUCAAGUUAUAAACGAGCUUAUAGCCGCUGCCAAUAGAAUGGGGAAUCCUGCUCUUGCAACUAGACACAUGACAUUUUUACUUCAAAUAAUGUACAAUUACCUGAGCCCUACAGAACGUAAGGAUAUCGCUUUACAACUUCAGAGUGCUUCACAACAAUGCGAAGGCGCUCCAAUACCACUUGUUCUAGACUCAGGAAUUGUCGUACCACCCGCUAAUUUGAUAAAUAUACCAACAACAAAGUCUUUCGUUUUGAAAAAUCUUCAGCCCCAUUUGCAGCCGCAAAAAAUUGAACGCGUCAAAGAAGAUCACGGGCCAUUUCUCUUUACCCCAAUAAACUUCGGAUCAUUGGAGAGAAAAAAUACUUCAAAGAGUAAAGUCGAUUACUUAUGGGUGGAAGGUGAUAUUUGUGAAGUUUCGAUCCAACUGAUAAAUCCUCUACCCUUCGAACUCAACGUCUCUAAUAUGCGGUUACUGACGAACGGUAUUGUUUUCGAAUCUCUUCCCGAGAGUAUUACUCUCCCUGCCGAAUCAAGACCGAUUGUUGUUACUUUGGCUGGUACGCCGAAAGAGGUCGGAGAUCUUGAGAUUUUGGGUUUCAGCACUCAUACACUGGGAGUCAAGUCGAAUUGUCGAUUGAAAUAUAUAAAAGCUACACCAUAUCCACAUUAUAUGGUCGAAAUAAUUCCAGCGUUGCCGAAAAUUGAAAUCGUUACGAGCCUGCCGCAAACUGCUAGCUUCAGCUCGGGUGAAAAUAUUGUUACCAGCGCAAGUGUAUCCCUUUAUGGGGGAGAAAGCUCUGAAUGCACAAUUACACUGACGAAUACUGGGUUGGUAUCUAUCGAAAUAAUCGAACUUUCCAUGCAAUCAACUUUGGAUGCAAUAACAGAGGAAAAGAUAUUUAAAUGGAGUGAAGAAAACUUGAAAAUGCAGCUACCUCUUCAGCCUGGUGCAAGUGCAAGUAUAACUCUGUACUUGUAUGCCGCAACAGAUUUUAUAGCUCCAACGGCACACAAUCAAAUGUCUAAUAGUGCGUACUUGAGUCAAAUGUGUGGUUCGAUGUGGCAUUCGGGGCACAGUUCUCUGCCAUCUCGUCUGAAUUCGCCCUCGGAACAUAUUAAAAGGCAAUCCGAGCUCACAUCAUCACUCCGAUCGGGCCUUGGCCCGAACCUUCUAAGUAGUAAGAUGUCGGCGAAUACGACUUUAUCAACGCUAGCGGCACCAAUACCUGCUUCAAACCUAACCGAGGGUGAAUUGAGAAUAAAAUACUCUGGUGGUGCUGGACUCGCUGCUGGUUAUUGUCGAAUUUCGUCAGUUUUUGUGACGAUUGAAAUAUUACCGAGUGUUCAAAUCACCAGUUGGGAUGUUCUUCCUGCAGAAACAAAUCAUCAUAGACGAAGCUGUGGUGAGAGCCCAGGACGAGAUAACAUGUACGCUGGGCGAUUAUAUGACUAUCGGUGUUGGAAUCUGCAAUGCCUUAAAACACCCUCUUCACAACCUCACUCUGAUUAUAAGCUUCUAUCAAGAUCAUCAAAAUGGUGUCAAUAACUAUAGGUUGGAUACACGGUUAUCAAUAGCGGGUGCAAACAAAGUCGUUCUUCCAGCGUUGCAGGAAUACGGUCGAGCAUAUCACGAGUGUCGAGUAGUAUUCUUCACAGCAGGACAAUACAAAAUUGAUAUCCAAUGUGGCAGCUCUAAGUCUGAUCCAAGCCCGGUGACAAUUUGUACAGAACUCGUGAAUGCAGG